rnacentral:rRNA from 1 species
UUAAGCGACUAAGCGUACACGGUGGAUGCCCUGGCAGUCAGAGGCGAUGAAGGACGUGCUAAUCUGCGAAAAGCGUCGGUAAGGUGAUAUGAACCGUUAUAACCGGCGAUGUCCGAAUGGGGAAACCCAGUGCAAUUCGUUGCACUAUCGUUAACUGAAUACAUAGGUUAACGAGGCGAACCGGGGGAACUGAAACAUCUAAGUACCCCGAGGAAAAGAAAUCAACCGAGAUUCCCCCAGUAGCGGCGAGCGAACGGGGAGCAGCCCAGAGUCUGAAUCAGCUUGUGUGUUAGUGGAACGGUCUGGAAAGUCCGACGGUACAGGGUGAUAGUCCCGUACACCAAAAUGCACAGGCUGUGAACUCGAAGAGUAGGGCGGGACACGUGGUAUCCUGUCUGAAUAUGGGGGGACCAUCCUCCAAGGCUAAAUACUCCUGACUGACCGAUAGUGAACCAGUACCGUGAGGGAAAGGCGAAAAGAACCCCGGCGAGGGGAGUGAAAAAGAACCUGAAACCGUGUACGUACAAGCAGUGGGAGCACCUUCGGGUGUGACUGCGUACCUUUUGUAUAAUGGGUCAGCGACUUAUAUUCUGUAGCAAGGUUAACCGUAUAGGGGAGCCGCAGGGAAACCGAGUCUUAACUGGGCGUUAAGUUGCAGGGUAUAGACCCGAAACCCGGUGAUCUAGCCAUGGGCAGGUUGAAGGUUGGGUAACACUAACUGGAGGACCGAACCGACUAAUGUUGAAAAAUUAGCGGAUGACUUGUGGCUGGGGGUGAAAGGCCAAUCAAACCGGGAGAUAGCUGGUUCUCCCCGAAAGCUAUUUAGGUAGCGCCUCGUGAACUCAUCUUCGGGGGUAGAGCACUGUUUCGGCUAGGGGGUCAUCCCGACUUACCAACCCGAUGCAAACUACGAAUACCGAAGAAUGUUAUCACGGGAGACACACGGCGGGUGCUAACGUCCGUCGUGAAGAGGGAAACAACCCAGACCGCCAGCUAAGGUCCCAAAGUCAUGGUUAAGUGGGAAACGAUGUGGGAAGGCACAGACAGCCAGGAUGUUGGCUUAGAAGCAGCCAUCAUUUAAAGAAAGCGUAAUAGCUCACUGGUCGAGUCGGCCUGCGCGGAAGAUGUAACGGGCUAAACCAUGCACCGAAGCUGCGGCAGCGACACUAUGUGUUGUUGGGUAGGGGAGCGUUCUGUAAGCCUGCGAAGGUGUGCUGUGAGGCAUGCUGGAGGUAUCAGAAGUGCGAAUGCUGACAUAAGUAACGAUAAAGCGGGUGAAAAGCCCGCUCGCCGGAAGACCAAGGGUUCCUGUCCAACGUUAAUCGGGGCAGGGUGAGUCGACCCUAAGGCGAGGCCGAAAGGCGUAGUCGAUGGGAAACAGGUUAAUAUUCCUGUACUUGGUGUUACUGCGAAGGGGGGACGGAGAAGGCUAUGUUAGCCGGGCGACGGUUGUCCCGGUUUAAGCAUGUAGGCUGAUUGUCCAGGCAAAUCCGGAUAAUCAAGGCUGAGGUGUGAUGACGAGGCACUACGGUGCUGAAGUAACAAAUGCCCUGCUUCCAGGAAAAGCCUCUAAGCAUCAGGUAACAUUAAAUCGUACCCCAAACCGACACAGGUGGUCAGGUAGAGAAUACCAAGGCGCUUGAGAGAACUCGGGUGAAGGAACUAGGCAAAAUGGUGCCGUAACUUCGGGAGAAGGCACGCUGGUGUGUAGGUGAAGUCCCUGCGGAUGGAGCUGAGACCAGUCGAAGAUACCAGCUGGCUGCAACUGUUUAUUAAAAACACAGCACUGUGCAAACACGAAAGUGGACGUAUACGGUGUGACGCCUGCCCGGUGCCGGAAGGUUAAUUGAUGGGGUUAUCCGUAAGGAGAAGCUCUUGAUCGAAGCCCCGGUAAACGGCGGCCGUAACUAUAACGGUCCUAAGGUAGCGAAAUUCCUUGUCGGGUAAGUUCCGACCUGCACGAAUGGCGUAAUGAUGGCCAGGCUGUCUCCACCCGAGACUCAGUGAAAUUGAACUCGCUGUGAAGAUGCAGUGUACCCGCGGCAAGACGGAAAGACCCCGUGAACCUUUACUAUAGCUUGACACUGAACAUUGAGCCUUGAUGUGUAGGAUAGGUGGGAGGCUUUGAAGCGUGGACGCCAGUCUGCGUGGAGCCAACCUUGAAAUACCACCCUUUAAUGUUUGAUGUUCUAACGUUGGCCCCUGACCGGGGUUGCGGACAGUGUCUGGUGGGUAGUUUGACUGGGGCGGUCUCCUCCCAAAGCGUAACGGAGGAGCACGAAGGUUAGCUAAUCCUGGUCGGACAUCAGGAGGUUAGUGCAAUGGCAUAAGCUAGCUUGACUGCGAGCGUGACGGCGCGAGCAGGUGCGAAAGCAGGUCAUAGUGAUCCGGUGGUUCUGAAUGGAAGGGCCAUCGCUCAACGGAUAAAAGGUACUCCGGGGAUAACAGGCUGAUACCGCCCAAGAGUUCAUAUCGACGGCGGUGUUUGGCACCUCGAUGUCGGCUCAUCACAUCCUGGGGCUGAAGUAGGUCCCAAGGGUAUGGCUGUUCGCCAUUUAAAGUGGUACGCGAGCUGGGUUUAGAACGUCGUGAGACAGUUCGGUCCCUAUCUGCCGUGGGCGCUGGAGAAUUGAGGGGGGCUGCUCCUAGUACGAGAGGACCGGAGUGGACGCAUCACUGGUGUUCGGGUUGUCAUGCCAAUGGCACUGCCCGGUAGCUAAAUGCGGAAGAGAUAAGUGCUGAAAGCAUCUAAGCACGAAACUUGCCCCGAGAUGAGUUCUCCCUGAGACUUUAAGUCUCCUGAAGGAACGUUAAAGACGAUGACGUUGAUAGGCCGGGUGUGUAAGCGCAGCGAUGCGUUGAGCUAACCGGUACUAAUGAACCGUGAGGCUUAACCU